rnacentral:rRNA from 1 species
AUUGAACGCUGGCGGCAGGCCUAACACAUGCAAGUCGAACGGAGUGGCGGACGGGUGAGUAAUGUCUGGGAAACUGCCUGAUGGAGGGGGAUAACUACUGGAAACGGUAGCUAAUACCGCAUACUAUCAGAUGAGCCUAGGUCGGAUUAGCUAGUGGGGGGGGUAAAGGCCUACCAAGGCGACGAUCCGUAACUGGUCUGAGAGGAUGAUAAGUCACACGUGAAUUGAGAAAGGUCCCAGACUCCUACGGGAGGCAGCAGGGGGGAAUAUUGGACAAGGGGCGAAAGCCUGAUCUAGCCAGGUCGCGUGUUGUAAGAAGGUCUUCGGAUUGUAAAGCACUUUAAGUUGGGAGGCGUUACCAACAGAAUAAGCACCGGCUAACUUCGUGCCAGCAGCCGCGGUAAUUC